rnacentral:rRNA from 1 species
GCGAACGCUGGCGGCAGGCCUAACACAUGCAAGUCGAACGAACUCUUCGGAGUUAGUGGCGGACGGGUGAGUAACACGUGGGAACGUGCCUUUAGGUUCGGAAUAACUCAGGGAAACUUGUGCUAAUACCGAAUGUGCCCUUCGGGGGAAAGAUUUAUCGCCUUUAGAGCGGCCCGCGUCUGAUUAGCUAGUUGGUGAGGUAAAGGCUCACCAAGGCGACGAUCAGUAGCUGGUCUGAGAGGAUGAUCAGCCACAUUGGGACUGAGACACGGCCCAAACUCCUACGGGAGGCAGCAGUGGGGAAUCUUGCGCAAUGGGCGAAAGCCUGACGCAGCCAUGCCGCGUGAAUGAUGAAGGUCUUAGGAUUGUAAAAUUCUUUCACCGGGGACGAUAAUGACGGUACCCGGAGAAGAAGCCCCGGCUAACUUCGUGCCAGCAGCCGCGGUAAUACGAAGGGGGCUAGCGUUGCUCGGAAUUACUGGGCGUAAAGGGAGCGUAGGCGGACAUUUAAGUCAGGGGUGAAAUCCCGGGGCUCAACCUCGGAAUUGCCUUUGAUACUGGGUGUCUUGAGUAUGAGAGAGGUGUGUGGAACUCCGAGUGUAGAGGUGAAAUUCGUAGAUAUUCGGAAGAACACCAGUGGCGAAGGCGACACACUGGCUCAUUACUGACGCUGAGGCUCGAAAGCGUGGGGAGCAAACAGGAUUAGAUACCCUGGUAGUCCACGCCGUAAACGAUGAUUGCUAGUUGUCGGGAUGCAUGCAUUUCGGUGACG